GAUGAACGCUGGCGGCGUGCUUAACACAUGCAAGUCGAACGAAGCACUUUAACCUGAUUCUUCGGAUGAAGGUUUUUGUGCCUGAGUGGCGGACGGGUGAGUAACGCGUGGGUAACCUGCCUCAUACAGGGGGAUAACAGUUAGAAAUGACUGCUAAUACCGCAUAAGACCACAGAGCCGCAUGGCUCGGUGGGAAAAACUCCGGUGGUAUGAGAUGGGCCCGCGUCUGAUUAGGUAGUUGGUGGGGUAACGGCCUACCAAGCCAACGAUCAGUAGCCGACCUGAGAGGGUGAGCGGCCACAUUGGGACUGAGACACGGCCCAAACUCCUCCGGGAGGCAGCAGUGGGGAAUAUUGCAAAAUGGGGGAAACCCUGAUGCAGCGACGCCGCGUGAGCGAAGAAGUAUUUCGGUAUGUAAAGCUCUAUCAGCAGGGAAGAAAAUGACGGUACCUGACUAAGAAGCACCGGCUAAAUACGUG
rnacentral:rRNA from 1 species